rnacentral:rRNA from 1 species
AUGAAGGACUUCCUGCGUGCACUUGCUACCCGGCUCAAGACGAACACGGCUGCAUGCGAGAUACAUAGCCGGAUUUUUGUGCCUGAGGGCGAACCCCGUCCCUCUGAGCCUGGAGAGCCUUUGAGAGUGAAUGUGUUUUUCAAGCAUAUUCAGAAAAUGUUGUCUGGCAACUCGGCUGUUAUAGCAGAGACUGGGGACUCAUGGUUUAACUGCCAGAAGCUAAAACUACCAGAAGGCUGUGGGUAUGAAUGCCAGCUGCAAUAUGGAUCAAUUGGUUGGUCGGUCGGGGCUACUCUGGGAUAUGCGCAGGCUGCUAAGGAUAAGCGAGUCAUUUCCCUCAUUGGAGAUGGCAGCUUUCAGGUGACGGCACAAGAAGUGUCGACGAUGCUCCGGUGGGGACAGAACAACAUCAUCUUCCUCAUAAACAACGGGGGCUACACCAUCGAGGUGAAGAUCGAUGAUGGUCCUUACAACGUCAUCAAGAACUGGAACUACACUGGCGUGGUGGAAGCAUUCCGUAAUGGCGAGGGAAAAUGCUAUACUGCAAAGGUUCGAACGGAAGAGGAACUGGAGGAGGCAAUUGAGGCAUCCCUAGGACCUAACAAGGGCAGCCUGUGCUUUAUAGAGGUAAUUGUGCACAAGGAUGACACCAGUAAGGAGCUUCUUGUGUGGGGAGCUAGGCUUUUCGCCGCAAAUAACCGCCCGCCGAACCCUCAGUGA